GAACGCUGAAGAGAGGAGCUUGCUCUUCUUGGAUGAGUUGCGAACGGGUGAGUAACGCGUAGGUAACCUGCCUUGUAGCGGGGGAUAACUAUUGGAAACGAUAGCUAAUACCGCAUAACAAUGGAUGACACAUGUCAUUUAUUUGAAAGGGGCAAUUGCUCCACUACAAGAUGGACCUGCGUUGUAUUAGCUAGUAGGUGAGGUAAUGGCUCACCUAGGCGACGAUACAUAGCCGACCUGAGAGGGUGAUCGGCCACACUGGGACUGAGACACGGCCCAGACUCCUACGGGAGGCAGCAGUAGGGAAUCUUCGGCAAUGGGGGCAACCCUGACCGAGCAACGCCGCGUGAGUGAAGAAGGUUUUCGGAUCGUAAAGCUCUGUUGUAAGUCAAGAACGGGUGUGAGAGUGGAAAGUUCACACUGUGACGGUAGCUUACCAGAAAGGGACGGCUAACUACGUGCCAGCAGCCGCGGUAAUACGUAGGUCCCGAGCGUUGUCCGGAUUUAUUGGGCGUAAAGCGAGCGCAGGCGGUUUGAUAAGUCUGAAGUUAAAGGCUGUGGCUCAACCAUAGUUCGCUUUGGAAACUGUCAAACUUGAGUGCAGAAGGGGAGAGUGGAAUUCCAUGUGUAGCGGUGAAAUGCGUAGAUAUAUGGAGGAACACCGGUGGCGAAAGCGGCUCUCUGGUCUGUAACUGACGCUGAGGCUCGAAAGCGUGGGGAGCGAACAGGAUUAGAUACCCUGGUAGUCCACGCCGUAAACGAUGAGUGCUAGGUGUUGGAUCCUUUCCGGGAUUCAGUGCCGCAGCUAACGCAUUAAGCACUCCGCCUGGGGAGUACGACCGCAAGGUUGAAACUCAAAGGAAUUGACGGGGGCCCGCACAAGCGGUGGAGCAUGUGGUUUAAUUCGAAGCAACGCGAAGAACCUUACCAGGUCUUGACAUCCCGAUGCUAUUUCUAGAGAUAGAAAGUUACUUCGGUACAUCGGUGACAGGUGGUGCAUGGUUGUCGUCAGCUCGUGUCGUGAGAUGUUGGGUUAAGUCCCGCAACGAGCGCAACCCCUAUUGUUAGUUGCCAUCAUUCAGUUGGGCACUCUAGCGAGACUGCCGGUAAUAAACCGGAGGAAGGUGGGGAUGACGUCAAAUCAUCAUGCCCCUUAUGACCUGGGCUACACACGUGCUACAAUGGUUGGUACAACGAGUUGCGAGUCGGUGACGGCGAGCUAAUCUCUUAAAGCCAAUCUCAGUUCGGAUUGUAGGCUGCAACUCGCCUACAUGAAGUCGGAAUCGCUAGUAAUCGCGGAUCAGCACGCCGCGGUGAAUACGUUCCCGGGCCUUGUACACACCGCCCGUCACACCACGAGAGUUUGUAACACCCGAAGUCGGUGAG
rnacentral:rRNA from 1 species